UACUAUUGGUAUAAACAAAAAUAUCAUCGCAACAAUAGUAUUGUUUACCAUCGACGAUUUUUUUUAUUCGUGUAGGCAAGUUUCUAACUAAAAAUGUCACAAACUUCUAGCCAUUUCAGCGCUCUUGAGAGGCAGCGACUCCGUGAAAUCGAGGAGGAAAAACAAAACAUUAAACAAUUAAGGAGAGAAGUCGCCAUUCGAAGGAUCAAAGUUUCAAAGGCCGUUGAAGACUUAAAGAAAUAUACUGAAGCCCAUGAACAAAAAGAUUACCUGUGGAAAGGAUUCAAAUCGAUUAGAGAAAAUCCAUUUCGAGAGAGACCUAGAUAUGACAUUUGUGGCUGUCUCUUAUCCAUGUUGCCUUUUUUCGGGUAUAAUGAUCUCUAGUAAAGCAUUUUUUGUAACUAUUUUGAUUACCACACUAUUACAAUGAGUAUCAAUGUAUGAUAUCCGUAAACAAUUCGUCCAGAUUGUAUUUGAUUUUAUUCCAAUUAUAAUUUUAUUCAAAGUAUCAAA